GUAGCUUGCAGUCCUGCAUAAAUCUUCACUAUGAAGAAGCUUUCCAGUUCGCAAAUUCUGGCCGUUUUGGCCGCAGUGGCCAUUAUUUUAGCAGCGUAUGAAAAUCAAGGUUUACGAUUUGCACUCGCUUCUCCAUUUCCCGGGUGUUGUGGAAGCAAACCUCGUGCUAAUCAUGGUACUUUGACAGUUGAUAUGAUACAAUAUCGUCCUCACUUCAAUACAAGUACAGCUAAUAAACGCAGUAAUCCUAAGCAACAACUACAACAAGAGCAAGGCCGAAAACGUUCACCUCCAGACCGCAUACCUCGCGCAGGAAGUGCCCAUGGACAUCCAUCCAGUAAGACGCUAGUACGUCGUACUACUGUGUGAUCUCAUCGAAUAUUUCAGAAUGUGCGCGUGUGUGAAUCGCACUGACUGGAGGCAGCAAAAAAAAAAAAAAAGUUGCCGAAUUGCGCUUCACGUAAUGCUUGCAGUAUUAAAUAAUUGUUUAUACUUGAA